CGGGUGAGUAAUGCGUGACCAACCUGCCCCAUGCUCCAGAAUAGCUCUUGGAAACGGGUGGUAAUGCUGGAUGCUCCAACUUGACGCAUGUCUUGUUGGGAAAGUGUUUAGUGGCAUGGGAUGGGGUCGCGUCCUAUCAGCUUGUAGGCGGGGUAAUGGCCCACCUAGGCUUCGACGGGUAGCCGGCCUGAGAGGGCGGACGGCCACAUCGGGACUGAGAUACGGCCCAGACUCCUACGGGAGGCAGCAGGC
rnacentral:rRNA from 1 species